rnacentral:rRNA from 1 species
GAUGAACGCUAGCUGCAGGCUUAACACAUGCAAGUCGAGGGGUAACAAGAGGAAAGCUUGCUUUCCUUGUUGACGACCGGCGCACGGGUGAGUAACGCGUAUCCAACCUGCCUAUAACUAGGGAAUAGCCUUGCGAAAGUAAGACUAAUACCCUAUGAUUUCCUUUGAUGACAUCAGAUUAUGAAUAAAGAUUUAUCGGUUAUAGAUGGGGAUGCGUCUGAUUAGCUUGUUGGCGGGGUAACGGCCCACCAAGGCAACGAUCAGUAGGGGUUCUGACAGGAAGGUCCCCCACAUUGAAACUGAGACACGGUCCGAACUCCUACGGGAGGCCGCAGUGAGGAACAUUUGUCAAUGGGCGGAAGCCUGAACCAGCCAAGUAGCAUGCAGAAUGACGGCCCUAUGGGUUGUAAACUGCUUUUAUACAGGAAUAAAGUUAGCCACGUGUGGUUAUUUGUAGGUACUGUAUGAAUAAGGACCGGCUAAUUCCGUGCCAGCCGCCGCCGUAA